AUGCCAGAUAAAAGGGCCACUGCCCACAGCCUGGGGACCUCAAUGUUCCUGUCCGGCUUCAAGUUCACCAUAGACAAAGUGGUGGAGCUUGAGACUCUGCACUCUGUAUCACUGUGGUGGACUUUCGGUGGCGGAACAAAACUGUCAGUUGGACGUGACACAGUUCCCACCCUCACAGUCCUGCCCCCCUCCAGUGUGGAGCUGAAGCAGGGAAAGGCCACACUGGUGUGUCUGGCCAACAAGGGCUUCCCCUCAGACUGGACUCUGCGCUGGAAAGUGGACGGUACCAGUAGGAGCUCGGGCGUGGCCGGGAGUGUGGGGGUCCUGGGGAAGGACGGCCUGUACAGCUGGAGCAGCUCCCUGACUCUCAGUGAGAACGACUGGGUGAAGGCAGGGUCACUGACCUGUGAGGCCACAAAGGGCUCCUUGUCUGCCCCCCCUCAGACACUGAGGAGAGCCCACUGUUCUUAGUAGGCCGGGUGGAGGCCCAGCUCACACACUCUGGUCACACUGUUUUUACCCUGUUCUGCCCUCAGCCUCUCUGCUCCUUACUGCUGUCACACUGAGCUGAGCCUGUGUGUGAAUCCUUCCCCCAGCCUGAGCUUUCAGUGCUAAUAUCUGACAUGUGCUCUGCUUGUGCUCUUCAACAA